AUUGAACGCUGGCGGCAGGCCUAACACAUGCAAGUCGAACGGUAACAGGAAGAAGCUUGCUUCUUUGCUGACGAGUGGCGGACGGGUGAGUAAUGUCUGGGAAACUGCCUGAUGGAGGGGGAUAACUACUGGAAACGGUAGCUAAUACCGCAUAACGUCGCAAGACCAAAGAGGGGGACCUUCGGGCCUCUUGCCAUCGGAUGUGCCCAGAUGGGAUUAGCUAGUAGGUGGGGUAACGGCUCACCUAGGCGACGAUCCCUAGCUGGUCUGAGAGGAUGACCAGCCACACUGGAACUGAGACACGGUCCAGACUCCUACGGGAGGCCGCAGUGGGGAAUAUUGCACAAUGGGCGCAAGCCUGAUGCAGCCAUGCCGCGUGUAUGAAGAAGGCCUUCGGGUUGUAAAGUACUUUCAGCGGGGAGGAAGGGAGUAAAGUUAAUACCUUUGCUCAUUGACGUUACCCGCAGAAGAAGCACCGGCUAACUCCGUG
rnacentral:rRNA from 1 species